GCAACUUCUACCUCCCAGGUUCAAGCAAUUCUCCUGCCUCAGCCUCCCUAGUAGCUGGGAUUACAGGACAAGAAUGAGGGAGAGAUUUGACCCAGAAUAAAGAAGCAGAAGGUGCAGCUUCACGCCAUGCGACACGGGCCCCACAGCCACACUCCUCUCAAGGCUCAAAAUCAGUUGCAAUGCUGGAUGGGAGUGCACCGUAGCGCGUCCUUCCAGGCUGGGAUCCUCCACCCACUUGGAGCUGAUCCCCGCAGCCAGGCUCAGGCCCCAUGCCUGCCAUCCCUGCACACCGACUCCCAGAGGCCCGCGUGACACCAGACUCUUGUGCCGCCAGGUCUUCCUCCCAUCCCCCUUUCACCAUCUGGGAGUGCUAUGGCCAAGCUGCCUCACAUCCUACCACGUGGCAACCCCACUGCGAACUUCCCAAAACAUCAGACAACUGCAUUUUUUAGGAUGGAAUGAAUACAUUCUCAGAGAACUUUCCUAUGGAAUUCUUUGACGGCUUAUUUAACUUAUCCUGGUUUAUUUAUCGGGCUCUUAGUCAUAAAUUUCAGAAGCCAUGUUUCUUCAAGGUCUGAAGAGAAAAUGUGUGACUGAAAUGUGCUGAGUGUCAUUUUCCUUUCUGUCCUCUCCCUGCCCCUUCCUCUCCCUCUCCCCCACCACAUCUGCCCCAGGAGCUCCCACCCUGAGGGCAUGGAGGUCGAGAUGUCCGGGAGCCACUGAGGAACCUGAGGCAGGUGUCUAGUGCCUCUGUCCCCGGACAGGACUCCACAGAGGCCAUGGCACAGGGGCGACUCAGCCACUCCAGGCCAGGCCAAUGGCCAAUGGGUCCCCAAGCGCCCUGGGAGCCCACAAAGGACUUCAGUCUCUAUCUGGUGGGUGAAACGAGGCCACUGCAGAUUGUGAGCAGAGCUGACAUCCACAGGUGGGACCAGGACCCAACCCAGGGCCAGGAAGUGAUGGAGGUGGCCACCACACACCAAGCAAUUAAUCCACCAACAUUUGCCCAACAUUUGCAGAGAACCGUCUAUGUAGCAGGCCCUGCAAAAGACACAGGAAGUUACACUCCACUGCAAAGACACACGUAUGCAUGAGGUACGUGUAAGGUCAUGCACUGCGACCUCUGCAACAGAUGGACAGAGUUCUGUGCAAGCCCCUACAGUGAGCUGAGCCCAGAGCCUCGGACAGGGCCCAGUGCCAGCUGUGUGCACGGGGUCAGUACGGAAACCAAUGUCAGCUGGGGAGACCAAGGCCAGUCCAAGUAGCAGGUGAUAUUUGACCUGGGCCUUUAAAAAUAGUAAGUAAUGUAAAUGACAAGUUAACAGGUGCAGCACAUCAACAUGCCACAUGUAAACAUAUGUAACAAACCUUCACAUUGUGCACAUGUACCCUAGAACUUAAAGUAUAAUUUUAAAAAAUAAUUAAUUUUAAAAAAUGAGUCAGUGUCGAUAGUGAAGCCUCGGGUAACUGAUUCAGAAGUCGCUCCAGGCAGAAGCAGGAUGUCACAACAAUAGCCACAUUUUGCAGAGAUUUCACAGGAAGGUUUCAAACCCAGAGGGAUUUCUCCUCAGCCCUGAGAGCAUGAAAUUAAACUGAACAUUGCAGCUGAGAUGCGGGGGAUUCGUCUGUCUUUGCAGUGAGGGAAGGGGCCAGCACUCUAUCCGGGAAAGAGCUGCCCAUGGACACCACCACCCAACAGUCUCCCGUUCUGUACACAAGAACCCAUCACAUCAUCCUAUACCAAGGACUGUCUAUUAAUUCCCUAUUUCUCAGCCUCUGCUGGUGAAGUUUCUGCCUCUUACUUCUGAAGUCCAAGCAGUGAAGAGCCCUUGGCCCACACAGGUCUCAGGGUGGCAGAAACAAAAAGGCAGAUUGGAGUCUACGAACAGAACCUCUGGCAGCCGUCAGGUGCCACCGGCACAGGAAUCUACUUACGUGAGACACGGAGGGGAGGCUCCCUCUAACUUCCAACAGGAAUGCAAAAUGUGCCAGGCCGGGCGCGGUGGCACACGCCUGUGGUCCCAGUUACUUGGGAAUCUGAGGCGGGGGGAUCUCUUGCACCCAGGAGCUUGAAGCUGUCAUGAUCCGUGAUUGCACCACCACACUCCAGCGUGGACAACGGCGU